rnacentral:rRNA from 1 species
GUGGGGAAUUUUGGACAAUGGGCGCAAGCCUGAUCCAGCCAUUCCGCGUGCAGGAUGAAGGCCUUCGGGUUGUAAACUGCUUUUGUACGGAACGAAAAGCCUCUGGUUAAUACCCGGGGGUCAUGACGGUACCGUAAGAAUAAGCACCGGCUAACUACGUGCCAGCAGCCGCGGUAAUACGUAGGGUGCGAGCGUUAAUCGGAAUUACUGGGCGUAAAGCGUGCGCAGGCGGUGAUGUAAGACAGUUGUGAAAUCCCCGGGCUCAACCUGGGAACUGCAUCUGUGACUGCAUUGCUGGAGUGCGGCAGAGGGGGAUGGAAUUCCGCGUGUAGCAGUGAAAUGCGUAGAUAUGCGGAGGAACACCGAUGGCGAAGGCAAUCCCCUGGGCCUGCACUGACGCUCAUGCACGAAAGCGUGGGGAGCAAACAGGAUUAGAUACCCGGGUAGUCC